AAUGAAAAAAAUCGGUCCGAAUUACAGGAAACAAAAGACAAAAUUAAAAAACAGGAAACCUAAUACCUGGUCUGCACUAAAUUGUUGCCUUUUUCACAUCUCUUUACCAGCAGUCCAAUCGAUAGCCAGUUUAAAAAAAUCUUCCAUUUCCUGCUAUCUCUUUUCUUUGCAAACCUUCCAUGAAAACCUCUUUAAUCUGGGUGCCUCGGCCAUCUUUCCUCUUGUUGGCGUCGAUUGUAGACUAUAACUGCUCCCUCCAGGACUGUCUUCGAGGCUAAAAUCUCGCCCAUCAAUCCCCGAGCCACCAGACCCGAAGCCGAUUUGGAAAAUCUUCCGUCGAAAGCUGCGUCAAAAUAAAUGGCUACCCUUGUGUUCCCUUCAUGUUGUCUCUGCCUUCUAUCAACAUCUGAGGAUAUCCCCAUGAUAUCCCGUACCGGGAUAAGCGAUUCCAAGAUUGUCCGCAUCAUAUCCCGUCCCGAUUCAGUAUUUUUUGUGCCCGGUUCAGCAGUAUUGGUAGCCGGUUCAGAGUUUUAACGUGUAUGGACCGGGUUAACUAACAUAGUUAUUCCAACCAGGGAUAUCCCAUUCCAGGGAUAUCCCGGAUUGGGAUAUCCCAUUCUAGGGAUAUCCCGGAUUGGUGUCUAGGGGUUUGAGGCUUGGGGCUUGGGUUUAGGGUUGGGCUGGUGUUUUUGGGCUUUUGUUUCAGUGUUUGGGGCUUUGAAUCUCUUAGGUUUUGGAUUACUGGGUUUUGGACUACAUCGGAUAGUGAUUUCAGGGACCAAAAUAUAUACCCAAAAUUUAUUAGCCUUGUAAAUUAUUAAAAAAGAAUUGAGAAUGAGGUUUCUUUUUAAUUGAAAUGGGCUUUUUUAUAAUAAAUCCAACAAGCCUACUCUAGACUAUUGAUGACUUUAAUCCAACAAACCAAAUGGACCAUCCGAAUGAGGGGAAGAAAACAAGGAAGCCAGCCACUUAAGAAAUGAAGCUUCUCUCUCCUUUGUUAUAGGAUUUAUGAAUAACCUCGAUUUCAAUCUCUCUCCUCCUGAUAUAUCUCCGGCAAUAAAACUCCACCGUUUCUUUCUAUCUUCGUUUGUAGGGUUUUUGGCUCAGAUCGACUCCCGGCUAAGAAUUUGUGCCUUUGUUUCACAGUUCGACUCCUUAUUUCUCUUCUCCUAAAGAUUCUUCUCAUUUGAAUCUUUGGCAUUAUCUUUUUUACACAACUUUUGGUUUGGAAUUACGGGUCGAUCAUUUGAAUCUUUGCCAUUAUCUGUUUUGGAGUGUGGUGUGUUUAACUGUGUGUGUUUGGGGUGUUGUUGGUUCAGUUUUGUAGUCUUUGGUCUGACCAAAGUAAAGUCUCUUCUUUCCUUUCCCUUUUAUCUCACUUAAGAUAAUGCUUUAAACUUUUUCGCCUGCCUUUCUUUCUAAUGUGACAGUCCAGAUAGCCUAAUGAUCUCGUGUAUAAAAAACUGCUUUCUAGUCUGAUGUGUUGCAAAAGAAAAAUCUCUGAUUGGCUGGAUUAUAAGUACUGUGAAACCAGUAUCCCAAUUGUUAAGUCAACCAUCAGUAAAUCGGCGCAUAUGAAUGACUUUAAUUAAAUAAUUCCCUGUGAAACUCUACAAUAAUAAGUUUAAUCGAUCUGUCCUUGGGAUAUGUAGUACACUUCCUGUCCAUAUAUAACUGUUUUUAGUUAGUAUCUUUCUUGCCCUGUUUUUAGUUAAAGUGUUUUUGUUUGUGAGAUAGUAACUAACAAAUUGAGCCCACUUUCCUUUUUAAGCCAUUGGUUAAUGACUUCGGUUUAUAUCGUAUUAGUUUGCAUGAAUUUGAUUCUUUGAAUAACCUUCUUGUGGUGUCUUGGGUUUAAUUCAAAAUUUUCCGAAUUAUUAAUGGUUGAUGUGGAAAUUUGAUUAGGACAAUGUGAAAAAGUUAUGCUCUAAUUUUCUGAACUGUCAAGAUAUAGGUAUGUUAGGGGAAGCCUACACUCUGUUUACUGGUAAGUUUAAUCUUGAGUGUUAUAUGAGGUUGAUAUCUUUAAUCUACAGUUUAUAUAUAUUUAAGGUCAGGGAAUAGCUGUUUCCAAUUACUUGAACACUUGGCUGUUUUCAUUUAAUCUACAGUUAAUAUAUAUUUAAGGCCACUUUCCUUAUACAAGUGUUGUUUGAUUUUCUUUUUUAAAGGAAAAAUACAGUUUGUAUGGCGUUGUUGUGUGUUUUCAAAUAGAAUAGAAAGUAAGAGACUUUGGGAUCAAUUAACAUCAAUUUUAACUAGAAGAACAUGGUCAUAUUUGGAGUGAAAAUUCUUGCAUUUUAUCUGGUGCUAAGGAGGUGCAUAUUAGUAUUUGGUUUUCUUUUCACACUGCUUGGUGCUUUCACUCAUCAGUAAGGAUCGGGGUAGGUUUUCUUUAAAAUAGUUGAGUGGAGGUCAUCGAUGAACUUAGUUGGAACUGUUUGUGUGCUGGUGCUUAUAUGAUUUGGAAUUGGAUUUUGAUUGAAAUAUUCGCGUAAUAUCUAAAUGCAUGGCCUGGAUGGAAUUAGGGAUGCAAUUUAACUGAAAAUGUUGUUUUAUAUUACAAAGUAGUUACAAGUGUUUAUUGUGUUGCUUUAGAAGAUGUUAACUAGGUGUUGUUUUCUUUCUUAUGAAGAACACAGUAUAUUUGCCUUUUUUGAUCUUACGAUGAGAGUUUUCUUUCAAAGUUUCAUAUUUGAAUCGUAUUACUGAUUUAUUUUUCAAAAAAUCCAAAUUACUCAUCUCUCUACAAUCUCAUGGUUUUGUUUGCAGUAACAUUGAUGCGUUUGUUUUAUUUGAUUGUUGUUUUCUAAAUGUCAAAAUUAAAGUAAAUUUUCUUUGGAUCGAAUUUAAUUUUCAUUGGGCCUAUGUGGCCAUUGGUUUUUUGCGACUUGUGAUAGUUGUCCUGUGUUUUUGGGCUGUUAUAAUGGUAAUGUUUUUCGGGUUUCUGUUUAGUUCCUGUGGCUUGUGAUACUGAGCAUGUUUUCUUAGUUUAUUCUCUCCUCAUUUUCCUUUUUUUUCUAACAUUUCUUUCCCUUUUAUUCUCUCGUUUAUUAUGUCUGUCUCAUUUCAAAUUUUACCUCUUAUAUUUUUAGGCCCGAAAGAAUUCAAAGACACUAUAUUGUGAUUCUCUCUACCAUUUCUGUUUUUGGGAUUUUUGGACUCCCUUGCUUAAUCAGCUUACAGGAUUUAAAGAUUGUCUUUGGUCAAUCGUUUGAUAAUUAUUACCUUAUACAGGUGCUGUUUAAUUUUCCUUUUUCAAUGUUGUCAUAGUGUAUAAAUGUUGAUGGUUAAAUAUUUUAGAAUUAAAAGCAAAUUGACAUGAUAUAUAUACCAAUUAUAAUAUUAUUUAAUUCAUAUUAUACAAUUAAUAUAAAAUGAAAUUAAAAGCAAGAUGUUUGGGAGUAUGAUUCGGUACUUUUCAACGAAACCCAAGUCGAAAAUGAAGCCAAUCGAGUUGAAAACGUCGCCAGAGCAAACGUAGACCACAACCAGAGUCAUCUUUGACAUUCUCAAGGAGCAUGGGCCCCUCACCGUCGGUGAUACUUGGGAACGAGUCAAGGAGGUUGGACUGAGAGGACUUACAAGCAAGAGGCACAUGAAGAUCGUAAUGAGAUGGAUGAGAGGGAGACAAAAGAUUAGGCUAAUAUGCAACCAUGUGGGGCCUCACAAACAAUUUCUGUAAACAACUUGGUUCACUAAACCAAGCAUCAGCCACACAAGAGCUGUCCAUAAUUCCUCAACUUCUACAACUAGUUUUUCUGUCGAUACUUCUGGUCCAAAGUCGUCUUCAGGUUAGGUUGUAGCACGCUUGUGCUGGCUGCAAUACCAUCACAUGUACUGUUUUUUGCAAUAGUGUAAUACAAUUGUUCUGUUGUCAUGUUGUGGAAAUUUUACCCUCUUCUUCCCUUAUAUUUUCGAUUUUAAUGUACAAAUUCCAAGUUCGAUUA